GCCUAGGGACGCAGCAGUGGGGAAUUUUGGACAAUGGGCGCAAGCCUGAUCCAGCAAUGCCGCGUGAGUGAAGAAGGCCUUCGGGUUGUAAAGCUCUUUUGUCAGGGAAGAAACGGUGGGAGCUAAUAUCUCUUGCUAAUGACGGUACCUGAAGAAUAAGCACCGGCUAACUACGUGCCAGCAGCCGCGGUAAUACGUAGGGUGCAAGCGUUAAUCGGAAUUACUGGGCGUAAAGCGUGCGCAGGCGGUUUUGUAAGUCUGUCGUGAAAUCCCCGGGCUCAACCUGGGAAUUGCGAUGGAGACUGCAAGGCUAGAAUCUGGCAGAGGGGAGUAGAAUUCCACGUGUAGCAGUGAAAUGCGUAGAUAUGUGGAGGAACACCGAUGGCGAAGGCAGCCCCCUGGGCUAAGAUUGACGCUCAUGCACGAAAGCGUGGGGAGCAAACAGGAUUAGAUACCCUAGUAGUCCU
rnacentral:rRNA from 1 species